rnacentral:rRNA from 1 species
GUCGGAGUGGCGCAAGGGUGCUUAACACGUGGGCAAUCUGCCGUGAAGCCUGGAAUAACUCGCUGAAAGGCGAGCUAAUGCCGGAUGUGAAAAUCGGGAGGCAUCUUUUGAUUUUCAAAGCUGGGGACCGCAAGGCCUGGCACUUCACGAUGAGCCCGCGGCCUAUCAGCUAGUUGGCGAGGUAACGGCUCACCAAGGCUUAGACGGGUAGCUGGUCUGAGAGGACGACCAGCCACACUGGAACUGAGACACGGUCCAGACACCUACGGGUGGCAGCAGUCGAGAAUUUUUCUCAAUGGGCGAAAGCCUGAAGGAGCGACGCCGCGCGGGGGAUGAAUGGCUUCGGCCCGUAAACCCCUGUCAUUUGCGAACAAAUUGGUUCAAUUAACACCUGAACCAUUGAUAGUAGCGGAAGAGGAAGGGACGGCUAACUCUGUGCCAGCAGCCGCGGUAAUACAGAGGUCCCAAGCGUUGUUCGGAUUCACUGGGCGUAAAGGGUGCGUAGGCGGUCGGGUAGGUCUGAUGUGAAAUCCCGCAGCUCAACUGCGGAACGGCAUUGGAUACUAUUCGGCUCGAGGAGUGGAGGGGAGACUGGAAUUCUCGGUGUAGCAGUGAAAUGCGUAGAUAUCGAGAGGAACACCUGUGGCGAAGGCGAGUCUCUGGACACUUCCUGACGCUGAGGCACGAAAGCCAGGGGAGCAAACGGGAUUAGAUACCCCGGUAGUCCUGGCCCUAAACGGUGCGCAUUUGCUGUGAGCGGAAUCGACCCCGCUCGUGGCGAGGCUAACGCGUUAAAUGCGCCGCCUGGAAGUACGGGCGCAAGGUUAAAACUCAAAGAGAUUGACGGGGGCUGCACAAGCGGUGAGUAUGUGCUCAUUUCGAUGCAACGCGAAGAAC